rnacentral:misc_RNA from 1 species
UGGCUCUCGCAUCGAUGAAGAACGCAGCGAAAUGCGAUAAGUAAUGUGAAUUGCAGAAUUCAGUGAAUCAUCAAAUCUUUGAACGCACCUUGCGCCCUUUGGUAUUCCGAAGGGCAUGCCUGUUUGAGUGUCAUUAAAUUAUCAACUCUGUCAGCUUGCAGAGCUUGGACUUGGAGCGUGCUGGGCUCUUGUAGCUCAGCUCCUCUUGAAAUGCAUAUGCGGAACUUUUGAUUGCUGAGCGGCUCCGGCGUGAUAAUUAUCUACGUUGCGGCAGCGAAGCAGACGGAUCCGCCUACAGCUGUUGCAUCCCUGCAACAGGGGGUCCGCCCCCUAACGAUGACAAUUUGACCUCAAAUCAGGUAGGACUACCCGCUGA